rnacentral:misc_RNA from 1 species
GAGAGAGAGAGAGAGAGAGACUUUGGUGUGCUCAGUACUUUCACUUUCGUUUCUGUUGGACUAAAUUACAGUUUUGUGCUCCUAAAUUGAUAUUUUAACCAAGUAGUUUGGUACCUUAUGCAUAUAUUCUAGGAACUAAUUCAUGAGGAUAAAUUAUUUCUCCAUCAGUAUGCUUUAUCCUUUGUAGUGUGUAUGUAUAACAGUUGCGGAUACCAAUAAAAUGCCUUACCUGCUUAUUCAAUUUCACAGAAAAUGUUUGCACAAGUGUAUUGUUUUGUGUGGCAGUCAUAGAGUUACUGGAAUAUCCAGUUUGUUAGGUUAUGACAUAAGAGUAGACAGGGUCCCAUAAUCCAUUGGAUUUUCUGAAAUUUAUUUUGGUUUAAGGUGCCUAAAUGAAAAAGAAUGCAUUUCACUCACUUAAAUACGUUUAUAAUUUUCUAUUAUGAAUUAUUAUCAUUAUUUCAGGUUGACAUAUGGGAGGAAAGGAA